AUGAUAUCAGCCCAAGUAUUAAUAACGCGACCUUGACUAUCAACUACAUAUUGGUUGAAAUUGAAACCAUUUACGUUGAAAGCCAUAGUACUAAUACCAUAAGCUACAUAACAGAUCCAUUGGCUGUCUCCCCCAGCAACAGGCUCGAUGUGA
rnacentral:rRNA from 1 species